CCUACGGGAGGCUGCAGUGAGGAAUAUUGGUCAAUGGGCGAGAGUCUGAACCAGCCAAGUCGCGUGAGGGACGACGGUCCUAUGGAUUGUAAACCUCUUUUGUCGGGGAACAAAGGCGCCCACGGGUGGGCGGAUGUGUGUACCCGAAGAAAAAGCAUCGGCUAACUCCGUGCCAGCAGCCGCGGUAAUACGGAGGAUGCAAGCGUUAUCCGGAUUUAUUGGGUUUAAAGGGUGCGUAGGCGGACAGUCAAGUCAGUGGUAAAAAUGCGGUGCUAAACGCCGUACAGCAGUUGAAACUGGCAGUCUUGAGUGGGGGAGAGGUAUGCGGAAUGCGUGGUGUAGCGGUGAAAUGCAUAGAUAUCACGAAGAA
rnacentral:rRNA from 1 species